rnacentral:rRNA from 1 species
UACGUAGGGUGCAAGCGUUGUCCGGAAUUAUUGGGCGUAAAGGGCUCGUAGGCGGUCUGUCGCGUCGGGAGUGAAAACUCGGGGCUUAACCCCGAGCCUGCUUCCGAUACGGGCAGACUAGAGGUAUGCAGGGGAGAAUGGAAUUCCUGGUGUAGCGGUGAAAUGCUCAGAUAUCAGGAGGAACACCGGUGGCGAAGGCGGUUCUCUGGGCAUUACCUGACGCUGAGGAGCGAAAGUGUGGGGAGCGAACAGG